AGCCCUGUGGUGAGUUUACACGUUGAAUUGCAAAUUCAGAGAAGCAGCUUCAAUUCUGCCGGGGCUU
ensembl:Mt_tRNA